rnacentral:lncRNA from 1 species
GAUUCUCCAGACACACGCAUUCGUCUUCGAAGAGAACUUGGCGGUGUAAAGAUGAAGAUUCAAGAUUUUCUUGAAAUGGCAGUCACCUUAUUUUGUUUUUGACAUGGAUGUCGAUGACCCUUUGAUUCUUGAUAUGGUGCUCACCAAAUCUUAUUUUGUUUUGUUGAGGAUUUACGCAACCUCUUUUGAUUGAUUUUCUUUUUUUUUAUCCCUAAUUUUUUCCU